UACAGAGGUCUCAAGCGUUGUUCGGAUUCAUUGGGCGUAAAGGGUGUGUAGGUGGCGCGCUGAGACGGGUGUGAAAUUUCGGAGCUUAACUCCGAAACUGCAUUCGAUACUGGCGUGCUUGAGGACUGGAGAGGAGACUGGAAUUCAUGGUGUAGCAGUGAAAUGCGUAGAGAUCAUGAGGAAGACCAGUGGCGAAGGCGGGUCUCUGGACAGUUCCUGACACUGAGACACGAAGGCCAGGGGAGCAAACGGG
rnacentral:rRNA from 1 species